UAUGUGUAAAAAAAUUGUGGAAGAGAUUGUAAUUGAGUUAGAAGAGUGGUUGUGACACGAUAACGAUACAUAAUCAUUUUAGUAGUGACGUCCUGUCAAAUUGAUCCUAGCUCUGUAGGAGACUUAACAGCUAUUUAGAGAACGGUCAGAAUCAUUCAGAACAGCGAACAGGAGGACGACCAUGAACAAAAAUAUCUUAGUAAUGAAGAGUUUCUUUUUUAUUUGCUUACUGAUUUCUCUUAUUGGUGAAAGUGCCGAACAAAUAAGUUUCUCAACAGAUUGGGGAAGUGGAAAACGCUCAUUUUUAGAAAGUUACGAAAAUAUCUGCAAAUCAAAGUUGGAACAGUCGUUAAUUUUUGACAUAGCUAGUCUUGUCCAAAGACACGUGGAAAGUUUCAUGGAUUGUAAGAAUGAUAACAGUAAUCUAAAACAUCGGCGAUGACAUCGGGCAAGGAAGUCAGCAGACAUGCAGGAAUUAACACUACCAGAUGCUUCGUUUGUUUUCUAGUCUGAUUUUUAUAUGAAAUCUAAGAAACAUUUUUAACAAUAAUUUUAAAAAGAACAUUGUUCAUAUAUCAGCCACGUCGUUCAUCCUAGUCUAUUGCCAUGUAAAUAAUAAAAUUCUCAACAAAAUAAAAU